UUAACCCGAGGUUGUACCGGUGCCUCUCGCCGAGAGAGGUGAAACGGGAAUGCGGUGCGGGGCGAUGCCCCAAUGCCGCAGCUGCCCUCGCAACUGUGGGCGGAUCGGAGCGUCCUCGCAUGCCACUGACCAGAUCGGUCGGGAAGGCGGACGCGCCGGAUAUCCGCGAGCCAGGAGACCGGCCGGUACAAGGUGUGCAAC
rfam:Rhodopseudomonas palustris CGA009 complete genome.